rnacentral:rRNA from 1 species
UACGUAGGGGGCUAGCGUUGUCCGGAAUCAUUGGGCGUAAAGAGCGUGUAGGCGGUUCGGUAAGUCUGCCGUGAAAACCUGGGGCUCAACCCCGGGAGGCGGGUGGAUACUGUCAAGCUCGAGUCCGGAAGAGGAGUGUGGAAUUCCUGGUGUAGCGGUGAAAUGCGUAGAUAUCAGGAGGAACACCGGUGGUGUAGACGGCUUUCUGGACCAUAACUGACGCUGAGACACGAAAGCGUGGGUAGCAAACAGG